AGAAUAAUUUUUCUAUGGUCAAUUUUAAAUCGAUUGAUCAAAUUUAAAUCCUAAAUCAAAUUUUAAUAAAACCCUAAAUCAAAUCCUAAUCAAAUCUUAAAUCCUAAAUCCUAAAUAAAAUCUUAAAUCAAAUCCUAAAUCCUAAAUCAAACCUUAAUCAAAUUCUAACCCUAAAUCAAAUCCUAACCAAAUUCUAAAUCCUAAAUCAAAUCCUCACCAAAUCUUAAAUCUUAAAUCAAAUCUUAACCAAAUCCUAAAUCCUAAAUCAAAUCUUAAUCAAACCUUAAAUCCUAAAUCAAACCCUAAACCCUAAACCCUAAAUCAAAUCCUAACCAAACCUUAAAUCCUAAAUCAAAUCCUAAUCAAAUCCUAAAUCCUAAAUCAAAUUCUAAUCAAAUCUUAAACCCUAAACCAUAUCCUAAAUCCUAAAUCAAACUCUAACAAAAUCAUAACCAAAUCCUAAUUCUAAAUCAAAUUCUAACCAAAUCCUAAAUUCUAAAUCUUAAACCAAAUACUAACCAAAUCCUAACCAAAUCCUAA
rnacentral:lncRNA from 1 species